rnacentral:tRNA from 2 species
GGGCUUAUAGCUCAGUUGGUUAGAGCGCUCGUCUGAUAAGCGGGAGGUCGAAGGUUCAAAUCCUUCUGGGCCCACCA